GACGAACGCUGGCGGCGUGCCUAAUACAUGCAAGUCGAACGAACCGCGACUAGGUGCUUGCACUUGGUCAAGGUGAGUGGCGAACGGGUGAGUAACACGUGGGUAACCUUCCUCAUAGUGGGGGAUAACAGUCGGAAACGACUGCUAAUACCGCAUAGGACAUAGGAUCACAUGAUCCAGUGAGGAAAGGUGGCGCAAGCUAUCGCUAAGAGAUGGACCCGCGGUGCAUUAGCUAGUUGGUAGGGUAAAGGCCUACCAAGGCGAUGAUGCAUAGCCGACCUGAGAGGGUGAUCGGCCACAUUGGGACUGAGACACGGCCCAAACUCCUACGGGAGGCAGCAGUAGGGAAUCUUCCGCAAUGGACGCAAGUCUGACGGAGCAACGCCGCGUGAGUGAAGAAGGUCUUCGGAUCGUAAAGCUCUGUUGUUAGAGAAGAACAGCGCAUAGAGUAACUGUUAUGCGUGUGACGGUAUCUAACCAGAAAGCCACGGCUAACUACGUG
rnacentral:rRNA from 1 species